rnacentral:rRNA from 1 species
AAGGAAUAUUGCUCAAUGGGAGAAAUCCUGAAGCAGCAACGCCGCGUGGAGGAUGAAGGGUCUAUGACUUGUAAACUCCUGUAAAGAAGGAAAAAAUUCCCAUUAGAUGGGAGCUGAUGGUACUUCUGGAGUAAGCCCCGGCUAACUACGUGCCAGCAGCCGCGGUAAUACGUAGGGGGCAAGCGUUGUCCGGAUUUACUGGGUGUAAAGGGUGCUCAGGCGGAUUUGUAAGUCAGAGGUGAAAUCUUACAGCUUAACUGUGAAACUGCCUUUGAUACUGCAAGCCUAGAGUAUGGAAGAGAGUGAUGGAAUAUCUGGUGUAGCAGUGAAAUGCGUAGAUAUCAGAUAGAACACCAAUGGCGAAGGCAGUCACUUGGUCCAUUACUGACGCUAAAGCACGAAAGCGUGGGUAGCAAACA